rnacentral:tRNA from 1 species
UUUAAAGUGGCAGAUAUAAAAUGUGUUGAAUUUAAGCUUCAAAGAAGAUGGUUUCAUCCUUUAAAA